rnacentral:rRNA from 1 species
UGGGGAAUAUUGCACAAUGGACGAAAGUCUGAUGCAGCAACGCCGCGUGAAGGAAGAAGGUCUUCGGAUUGUAAACUUCUUUGAUCGGGGAAGAAUAAUGACAGUACCCGAAGAACAAGCCACGGCUAACUACGUGCCAGCAGCCGCGGUAAUACGUAGGUGGCGAGCGUUGUCCGGAAUUACUGGGUGUAAAGGGCGCGUAGGCGGGAAUGCAAGUCAGAUGUGAAAUACCAAGGCUUAACCUUGGAACUGCAUCUGAAACUGUGUUUCUUGAGUGUCGGAGAGGAAAGCGGAAUUCCCCGUGUAGCGGUGAAAUGCGUAGAUAUGGGGAGGAACACCGGUGGCGAAGGCGGCUUUCUGGACGAUAACUGACGCUGAGGCGCGAAAGCGUGGGUAGCAAACAGG